AGUGAACGCUGGCGGUAGGCCUAACACAUGCAAGUCGAACGGCAGCACAGUAAGAGCUUGCUCUUACGGGUGGCGAGUGGCGGACGGGUGAGGAAUACAUCGGAAUCUACUUUUUCGUGGGGGAUAACGUAGGGAAACUUACGCUAAUACCGCAUACGACCUACGGGUGAAAGCAGGGGAUCUUCGGACCUUGCGCGAUUGAAUGAGCCGAUGUCGGAUUAGCUAGUUGGCGGGGUAAGGGCCCACCAAGGCGACGAUCCGUAGCUGGUCUGAGAGGAUGAUCAGCCACACUGGAGCUGAGACACGGUCCAGACUCCUACGGGAGGCAGCAGUGGGGAAUAUUGGACAAUGGGCGCAAGCCUGAUCCAGCCAUACCGCGUGGGUGAAGAAGGCCUUCGGGUUGUAAAGCCCUUUUGUUGGGAAAGAAAAGCAGCAGGUUAAUACCCCGCUGUUCUGACGGUACCCAAAGAAUAAGCACCGGCUAACUUCGUG
rnacentral:rRNA from 1 species